rnacentral:rRNA from 1 species
UCGAGAAUUUUUCACAAUGGGGGAAACCCUGAUGGAGCGACGCCGCGUGGGGGAUGAAUGGCUUCGGCCCGUAAACCCCUGUCAUUUGCGAACAAGUUGGUUCAAUUAAUAACUGAACCAUUGAUAGUAGCGAAAGAGGAAGGGACGGCUAACUCUGUGCCAGCAGCCGCGGUAAUACAGAGGUCCCAAGCGUUGUUCGGAUUCACUGGGCGUAAAGGGUGCGUAGGCGGUCGGGUAAGUCUGAUGUGAAAUCUCACAGCUUAACUGUGAAACUGCAUUGGAUACUAUUCGGCUUGAGAGUUGGAGGGGGGACUGGAAUUCUUGGUGUAGCAGUGAAAUGCGUAGAUAUCAAGAGGAACACCAGUGGCGAAGGCGAGUCCCUGGACAACUUCUGACGCUGAGGCACGAAAGCUAGGGGAGCAAAC